UUAUCUUCUCCACACACCUCCAAGGACGUCAACAACGCAAGGAGACGUGGAAAUACACUACAUCACUGCGUGUGGCGAGGUUAUAAGAGAGGGACGCGCGCCCUGUGUGCAGACAGGAGGUGUGUGAGGAAGAAGCACAGACUGCUGACCGAGUCCACGGUGAAUGUUUGUAAACACGGAGUCCUUUAAAACGCCAGCGAAGUGCGAUUUCGUCCUGGAUGAGUGACGCGAUCAGCUGCUUUGGUGAUCUCUGAGAGGCACACAUGGCCCACCGUGUGCACGACCACCAGGGCCGUCUGCCCGUGGCCCAGACCACCGUGCUGACCCUGCCAGCGUCCAGCCAAGCAAAGGAGCUGAGGCCCAGACUGACUGCCGCGGAGUCCCUGCUGUGUGGUGCGUUUGCCGGAGCUGUGGCCAAGACAGUCAUCGCUCCUCUGGACCGCACUAAGAUCAUUU